rnacentral:rRNA from 1 species
GUACACGCUGUGACUAGCAUAUCAAUAAGCGGAGGAAAAGAAACUAACAAGGAUUCCCCUAGUAACGGCGAGUGAAGCGGGAAGAGCUCAAAUUUGAAAUCUUAAAGGGUUUCCCUUUACGAAUUGUAGUUUAAAGAAGUGUUUUCUGUUGAGGUUUUGGUAAAAGUUCUUUGGAAUAGGACGUCAUAGAGGGUGAGAAUCCCGUAUUUGACCUUUACUUUCAACUUUGUGAUACGCUUUCAAAGAGUCGGAUUGUUUGGGAAUGCAGUCCAAAAUGGGUGGUAAAUUUCAUCUAAAGCUAAAUAUUGGCGAGAGACCGAUAGCGAACAAGUACCGUGAGGGAAAGAUGAAAAGAACUUUGAAAAGAGAGUUAAACAGUACGUGAAAUUGUCAAAAGGGAAGCGUUUGACACCAGUGUUGUUUUUCUGAAAAUCAAUUAAAGAACUGUUUAUGCUAAGUUGUUUAGACUUUAUCAGCUAACUGUUUAGUUUUAAGCUUUUCUUUAAUGCACUUUUCAGUUAACAAGUCAACAUCAAUUUCUUUUGCUGUAAAAAAGCUUGAGGAAGGUGGCUUGAGAUUCGUCUUAAGUGUUUAUAGCCUCUUGCCUAUGCAGUCGGAGAGAUUGAGGUCUGCAGCGUAGAUCCUUCGGGGCUAAAUGCAUUUGUGCUAAGUUAUAGCAUUUUAUAGACAACUUGUUGACUAUGAUUUGUCUUGUAGCUUACUCGCUUAUGUUAUUUUACCUACGCUUAGGAUGUUGACGAGACUGUCGAUCUC